rnacentral:lncRNA from 1 species
AGAACACACAAAACACAUUCGUGAUGAUUUUGACCUAUCUACCAUAGCUCUUGGCAUAUUGUAGUCUCUCAAAAACUGGCCUGGGCAUAAGAUAAGAUAAAAAAAAUGCAGCUAGUGGGCCAGACUCACCAUCACCAAAGGUCUGGGCCAUGGCUCUUGUAUGUAUCUCACCAGCAAAUGAGCAUACAGCUAUCAACUGAAAAACUACACCUUUACUUUCCAAGCAUUGGUAUGGGCAGAUAGCAGGAUUCACAGAUUCUCCCCAGUCACUUGAGCACAAAUGGGUCAACAUGAAGGAAUGCAAGCUCACGUGGAUGCUAAAAGGUGGAAAUGAGUUUCAAGCCAAAGACUGUUGCGUGCAAGGUCUGGCCAUCUGCUCUACACUCAGCAUUCAGCAGUGGCUGAGAAUUCUGAUUAAUGGUGUGAGGAAGAACUCAACUCCCAGAGUGUAAUUCACACUGUGGGGCAGCUAAAUCGUGGCUGUAAUGGCAAAUGUCCUCCUGUCAGUCUAGUGAAUGGUGUCAUAGAUGUUGACCUUCUACAACUGAGAGCAAGCUUUAAAUGUGACUCUCCGUGUCCUGUGGUUCAAUACUGGCAAAAUGGCCUCUGUCCAGAAUUAUUCAUUCCUGUGCCCAAUCCCUGGAUAUGCAUCCGAGGGUUCAUUCUUGUCUAUCCCCGAUGGUUCCAUCAAAGCUGUAUCCUAGGACGGAGCUUCAGGGUACCACAGGGAUCCUGUAGGCUGAGGGUUCAUUUGGGGAGCCAACCCUUGAGCCAGUCUUAGCAUUGCUUCCCUCAUUUCAUAGCUUAGCCUUCCAAAUACAACAAAGCAUGUAGUACUGACCCAGGCAUAAAUGGUCUCUGCCCCGGUUUUCAUGGUGGGCCAGUUCUCUGUCCAUAGUCUUCAUUUUCCUCCAGCUGUUUCUAUGGUCCCUUCCAGACCUGCGCAGUUCUGAUCAUCUUGUUCAUGCUCUAGACACUCUAGCUUAUUACUAUCUAUAACCCUGUGUUUCCCAGACACCAGCAUGAGAAGGGUUCAGAAGGAAAAGGGAAGAAAGACUCAAAGUGCAACGAAAGUGAAAAACAACGGACCACUCCAUCAAAUAGAACACAAAGCUGGCGCUAUGGAAGUACUGGGAACAUUUGUAGUCUAUUGCCCCCCCAACCCCCGCUCUGCACACUGAAAGGUUCAAAGGGAGCAGAGACUUUUAUCUCUGACACCUGUAACAGGUGCUACAGGUGCCAAGUCAACAUUUAAUGAGGAGAACUCCCUGUUCUCAGGGUCACCGAGUCUUAGUUACUGUUCAAUCCUGCGAUAAAACGCUAUGACCAAGGCAACUUAUUGAAGGAAGUACUUAUUGGGCGUGGGGUUCCAGAGUGUUAGGAUUCAUAGUGGCGGGGGCAACAGUAUGGUGGCAGGUGGCAGACAUGGCAGCUAGAGCUAGAAGCUGAGAGUUGAAGGGUUCACAUCCUGACCUUCAAGCAUGAAACAGAACAAACUUAGAAUGGCAAGGAGCCCUGAGACCUCAAAAACUACCCCCAGCUGGAGGAUGUACUUCCUCCAAAAAGGCCACACCUCCUAAACCUACCCAAACAGCACUGAGGACUGAGGAUCAAGUCCUCAGAGAAACACUCUGGGGGACAUCGAAUUAUAACCACCACACAUUGAAUUAUAACCACCACACUGAGACUCACUUUCACCUCAGUAAACUCAUGGCACAGAGUGGGAGGAAGAACAGACAGACUCCCCUCUGUCCAAUGGCUGCAUCUAGGCUGUCCCCCCAGGGUCAGCAGUAUCCCUGCCCUUCCAAACCUCCAGCAUCAUUAAUCCUAUUCCACAGCAGCCCUCAGAGUGUCAUAGUCCCCUGUUCCUUUCACAUUAGUUGAUCUGCACUUAAUUGGGCUCUGAGCUGCUGCAGCAUAAGCAUAGACUUGCCAGAGAAGGAAAUAGACACUAUAAUAACUAUUAUUUACCAUUGAUAUAUACAAACAUGCCAACUCUUACAUGCCUUACUGUCAUAGUUACUUCUCUACUGCUGUGAGAAAACACCAUGAACCAGGCAACUUAACAAAGAAGCAUUUAAUUUGGGGCUUAUGGUCUCAGAGCAUUGGAGUUCAUGGUGGCAGAAUAACGGCAUGGUGGCAGGGAACAGUGAGGGCUUACAUCUUGAUCCACAGGUUGGAGGGAAAGAAAGAGACAACCAGAGAGACAAAGACAGAGACACACACACAGAGACAGAGACUGAUACUGGGAGGAAUGGCAUGAGUCUUUGAAACUUCAAAGCCCACCUCUUCCAACAAGGCCACACCUCCAAAUCCUUCCCAAACAGUUCCACCAACUGCAAUCCAAGUAUGCAAGCAAAUGAGCCUAUGGGGUGCAUUCUCAUUCAAAC